CCUACGGGGGGCAGCAGUGGGGAAUAUUGGACAAUGGGGGGAACCCUGAUCCAGCCAUGCCGCGUGUGUGAAGAAGGCCCUCGGGUUGUAAAGCACUUUCAGUGAGGAAGAACGCCUGGUGGUUAAUACCCAUCAGGAAAGACAUCACCCACAGAAGAAGCACCGGCUAACUCCGUGCCAGCAGCCGCGGUAAUACGGAGGGUGCGAGCGUUAAUCGGAAUUACUGGGCGUAAAGCGCGCGUAGGUGGCUUGAUAAGCCGGUUGUGAAAGCCCCGGGCUCAACCUGGGAACGGCAUCCGGAACUGUCAAGCUAGAGUGCAGGAGAGGAAGGUAGAAUUCCCGGUGUAGCGGUGAAAUGCGUAGAGAUCGGGAGGAAUACCAGUGGCGAAGGCGGCCUUCUGGACUGACACUGACACUGAGGUGCGAAAGCGUGGGUAGCAAACAGGAUUAGAUACCCUUGUAGUC
rnacentral:rRNA from 1 species